ACGACAAAAUAAAGAAAUACAAUUCUCUACUUCCAAAGAUGAUUGUUUUAUUCCUCACCUCAAAAGGUCCUUACAUCACCAACUACCUGGAGCCCAACUGUACCACUGAAGGCAACUUCCACAUACAUUGAGCUGUCGGACUCCUUUCAUUCAACGACAAGGCUCGCACAACAGGAAAACGACACAUCUUAACCGUCCGAUUUUUCUUCUAAUAGUUUGGGUUGUUG
rnacentral:lncRNA from 1 species